UCUUCCCAACCCAGGGAUUGAACCUGUGUCUCUUACAUCUCUUGCAUUGGCAGGAAAUGGAGCAAUCCAAUACAACCCUCCUACAGCAUCAUGAUUUGGGUGGAAUCGUAUAUAUUUUAUCAUGGAGUCAACAGCCCACUUGCAAAUUUUGCCAAUACAGCUGCAACAAUGCUAAAGCCAUCUUCUCAUCUGAAUCCAGAGUUUCUAAGGCUCAGAGUAAUUCAUAAAGGCACUCAAAUCUAGCCUCUUUUCAAUAUUCCUGCUCCUACUGAGAGAGCAGCAUCAUUAUUCAUCCAUUCAUUUAUUUAUUUACCAUAUUGGGAAAAACAUGUAGAAAGACAUCAGUGAUCAUAACCGAUGAGGAAGUAGGGAGAGAAAAUAACCCCAAAUAACCCCCAGUGUAGAUGCUUCUCAACUCCCAUGCUUACCCCACAGGCUUCAGAGCUAGUUCUCUGAAAUUAUACCACUGUUUCAUAGACUUACUUAUAUUAGAAAGAUUGAUCAAAUAAUCUCUGUUAAAUCAUCAAGGCAAUCACAGCAACAGAUCCCGAGGAAGCUACCAAAAUCUCUAUUAUCUUUGUUGAAAUGCAGAUUCCUGAGUCAGGAGCUUCUGAAUCUGAAGUAUCAGGAAUGAGCCCAAGAAUCUGUAUUUAUUGGAAAGUUUCCAAGAUGAUUCUAAUGCAGCCAGACCUACAAAUGUCCUUUGAUUGAAGUUUGGGAAUGAGACUAUCUAUUGAAUAAAAUUUAUCUGGUUAAUUCAGGGUAGCAGAGGGGAAAUCAAUCAAACCAGUAGUUCAACUGAAGUUUGUCCUUCAGGAGAUACACAGAUUGAGUGAAUUUCACUUUUUAAAAAAUGAUUAAUUUUUUUUGUGGCACCAUGUAAACAAAAAGGAGGACU